GUAUGAUUCCCCUUAUCAGCAGCUGCUCUCCACUCACUAGUGAGAGGAAGCAUAUUCGUUUAUGUUACCCUGUCCAAGAGCGCAAUGGGCACUGAAGACAAAAGCUACAACAGUGCUAUCCAUGCUAGUGAAAUAGGCUUCCUUCAGUCUUGGAGAGUCUGCUGAGAGAUGCUCAUCCUCCUGGUCUCUGAGAACGGUUUUCAGAAGGAAAUCUGAAAUGCAAGCAUAUGAAAAUGGCAAAGGUGAAACUGGAUGUUAAAUGAAUACCUGAGAGAUGUUUUAAAAUCAGCACCUACAUUCUGCCAUCUUCCUCUAGAU
ensembl:lncRNA